GGUCCUUUGAUGUGAGCUGAUCUGUACUGGAAACCUUAACUGUGAGCUAACAUCUUCUUACGUUCCCUGUAAAGCUAGGAUAAGAAGUAUUUAUAUCUGUGGAACUGCAAAGAGUAUCUUGACCCGGCAUCUAGGAUAAUACUGGCAACGGAUGCUGAUCCUCCAGGGCAGGCUCUUGCUGAGGAACUUGCUCGACGUCUUGGUAAAGAAAGGUGUUGGAGGGUCAAAUGGCCAAAGAAGAAUGAGACAGAAUUUUACAAAGAUGCUAACGAGGUUUGUUAUGGCAUGCAUAGGCAACUUUGACUAAUAAAUAAUAUUGCUACCAUUCUUCUGUUUGUAUUUCAUGCC